rnacentral:rRNA from 1 species
AACGAACGCUAGCGGCGCGUUUUAAGCAUGCAAGUCGAACGGGGAUAUUAGGAGCAAUUCUGGUAUCCUAGUGGCAAACGGGUGAGUAACACGUGGAUAAUCUGCCCUCGAGACCGGGAUAGCCCGCAGAAAUGCGGAUUAAUACCGGAUGUGGUGCCUGAUCGUGAGGAUCGGGACAUUAAAGGUGGGGACCGCAAGGCCUACCGCUCGAGGAGGAGUCCGCGGCCCAUUAGCUAGUUGGUGAGGUAAAGGCCCACCAAGGCAACGAUGGGUAGCCGGCCUGAGAGGGUGACCGGCCACAUUGGGACUGAGACACGGCCCAGACUCCUACGGGAGGCAGCAGCUAAGAAUCUUCCGCAAUGGGCGAAAGCCUGACGGAGCGACGCCGCGUGGACGAUGAAGGUCUUCGGAUUGUAAAGUCAUUUCGGGGAGGAAGAAUAAGCGUACUCUAACAGAGUGCGUGAUGACGACCCUCCCAAAAGAAGCUCCGGCUAACUACGUG